AUGGACAGUCUGACAGAACAGAGACUGACAUCUCCCAAUCUGCCGGCCCCCCACCUGGAACACUACAGUGUUCUGCAUUGCACCAUGACCCUGGAUGUGCAAACUGUAGUCGUUUUUGCCGUGAUUGUAGUCCUCCUGCUUGUCAAUGUCAUACUCAUGUUUUUCCUGGGAACGCGCUGAAUGGAGUCCAGCCACCUGAGCUGUCGCGACCUCUCGCUUUGAUUUCAUCUCGAGAGCCACCGAGAGAGACAGAGAGA